rnacentral:lncRNA from 1 species
CAGGAAGCGGCAGGCGGGCACCUACCCCACGUUGGGCAGCCCGACGAUCCCGAUCUUCAGGGACGUCCCGAACCUGCCGAUAAUCGGGUGCGCCUUCACCCCGUCGCCUGCCUUCUUCGGGGCCAUCUGGGGACGCAGAGCAGCGCUCGCAACGACUCUACAAGAAUCAGCUCCACAGUUCCCAUGAAGGGGAACGCAGGAACUCAGAGCCCCUUCAACCUUCAGAUGCGGGACUGGAUGUGACCCUCUGCUCAGCUCCA